GAUGAACGCUAGCGGCAGGCUUAACACAUGCAAGUCGAGGGGCAGCAUAAUGGAUAGCAAUAUCUAUGGUGGCGACCGGCGCACGGGUGCGUAACGCGUAUGCAACCUACCUUUAACAGGGGGAUAACACUGAGAAAUUGGUACUAAUACCCCAUAAUAUCAUAGAAGGCAUCUUUUAUGGUUGAAAAUUCCGAUGGUUAGAGAUGGGCAUGCGUUGUAUUAGCUAGUUGGUGGGGUAACGGCUCACCAAGGCGACGAUACAUAGGGGGACUGAGAGGUUAACCCCCCACACUGGUACUGAGACACGGACCAGACUCCUACGGGAGGCAGCAGUGAGGAAUAUUGGUCAAUGGACGCAAGUCUGAACCAGCCAUGCCGCGUGCAGGAUGACGGCUCUAUGAGUUGUAAACUGCUUUUGUACUAGGGUAACUCACCUACGUGUAGGUGACUGAAAGUAUAGUACGAAUAAGGAUCGGCUAACUCCGUGCC
rnacentral:rRNA from 1 species